UGAACGGCCACAUUGGGACUGAGACACGGCCCAGACUCCUACGGGAGGCAGCAGUGGGGAAUAUUGCACAAUGGGGGAAACCCUGAUGCAGCGACGCCGCGUGGAGGAAGAAGGUCUUCGGAUUGUAAACUCCUGUUGUUGAGGAAGAUAAUGACGGUACUCAACAAGGAAGUGACGGCUAACUACGUGCCAGCAGCCGCGGUAAAACGUAGGUCACAAGCGUUGUCCGGAAUUACUGGGUGUAAAGGGAGCGCAGGCGGGAAGACAAGUUGGAAGUGAAAUCUAUGGGCUCAACCCAUAAACUGCUUUCAAAACUGUUUUUCUUGAGUAGUGCAGAGGUAGGCGGAAUUCCCGGUGUAGCGGUGGAAUGCGUAGAUAUCGGGAGGAACACCAGUGGCGAAGGCGGCCUACUGGGCACCAACUGACGCUGAGGCUCGAAAGUGUGGGGAGCAAACAGGAUUAGAUACCCUGGUAGUCCACACCGUAAACGAUGAUUACUAGGUGUUGGAGGAUUGACCCCUUCAGUGCCGCAGUUAACACAAUAAGUAAUCCACCUGGGGAGUACGACCGCAAGGUUGAAACUCAAAGGAAUUGACGGGGGCCCGCACAAGCAGUGGAGUAUGUGGUUUAAUUCGACGCAACGCGAAGAACCUUACCAAGUCUUGACAUCCCUUGACGAACAUAGAAAUAUGUUUUCUCUUCGGAGCAAGGAGACAGGUGGUGCAUGGUUGUCGUCAGCUCGUGUCGUGAGAUGUUGGGUUAAGUCCCGCAACGAGCGCAACCCUUAUGGUCAGUUACUACGCAAGAGGACUCUGGCCAGACUGCCGUUGACAAAACGGAGGAAGGUGGGGAUGACGUCAAAUCAUCAUGCCCUUUAUGACUUGGGCUACACACGUACUACAAUGGCGUUAAACAAAGAGAAGCAAGACCGCGAGGUGGAGCAAAACUCAGAAACAACGUCCCAGUUCGGACUGCAGGCUGCAACUCGCCUGCACGAAGUCGGAAUUGCUAGUAAUCGCAGAUCAGCAUGCUGCGGUGAAUACGUUCCCGGGCCUUGUACACACCGCCCGUCACACCAUGAGAGCCGGGGGGACCCGAAGUCGGUAGUCUAACCGCAAGGAGGACGCCGCCGAAGGUAAAACUGGUGAUUGGGGUGAAGUCGUAACAAGGUAGCCGUAGGAGAACCUGCGGCUG
rnacentral:rRNA from 1 species